rnacentral:miRNA from 1 species
GUGUGUGUGUGUGUUUGUAUAGUGUGUGUAUAUAAUGCAGUGUGUUUGUGUAGUGUGCAUUAUAUAAACACACUACACAAACACUGCAUUAUAUACACACACUAUACAAACACACAC